rnacentral:rRNA from 1 species
UUUUUAAUUGGAAUCUUGUAUGAAUGGUUGGACGAAAGGAAUUCUGUCUUUAUAUUGGAAAUUGAAUUUAACUUUUAAGUGAAAAGGCUUAAAUAUAUUAAAGGGACGAUAAGACCCUAUAAAGCUUUAUAUAGAAAUUAAUGUUUAUUAAAUUUAUGAUUAUAAUGAUUUAAUUUAAUUAUUUAUUAUGUUGGGGAGAUAUUAGUAUAAUUUAUGUUAACUGCUAGAAAAUAUAGGCAAAAAUUAUUGUGUAAUGUAAUAGAUCCUUUAUUAAGGAUUAGAAGAUUAAGUUACUUUAGGGAUAACAG